UCCACGAUGGCCGAGACAUCAGGCAUCGAGCUUUUAACUCGACCACAGCUAUUUUCAGCUUCGGGAUA
rnacentral:tRNA from 1 species